rnacentral:lncRNA from 1 species
GGAAAGAAAAAGAAAGAAAGCACAUAAUAAAAUUUAUACCACAAAUUCCCAUUAAUCAUAACACUCAUCUUUUUCAUUCAUUCAUACUUGUUAUGUGAAAGAAAAAGAAAGAAAGCACCGAGAGAAAGAAAACCGUGAGAGAGAACGAGAGAAACUAUGGCACCGUGAAAUUUAUGGUUUUGAUUUUUUGAUAUUCGUAACUCCAAUUAAAAAUCUAAUCCGGUAAAAGUGUUGGUAUCUUUCUCCUUUACGUGUUGGUGUUAUUUUUGUUCGGUGGAAGUCGACGGUGACGUAGCUUUUCUACCCCUUGAACUUGGCCAACUGGAGUUCUACGAGACACGGAAGAUUCCGGACGUUUUUCCUUUUAGCAGCUCG